AUUGACCGCUGGCGGCAGGCCUACCACAUGCAAGUCGAGCGGAGCGGCGGACGGGUGAGUAAUGCCUAGGAAUCUGACUGGUAGUGGGGGAUAACGUCCGGAAACGGGCGCUAAUACCGCAUACUCUCAGAUGAGCCUAGGUCGGAUUAGCAAGUUGGUGGGGUAAAGGCCUACCAAGGCGAAGAUCCGUAACUGGUCUGAGAGGAUGAUCAGUCAACACGGGACUUGGAAACGGUCCAGACUCCUAGGGGAGGGAAGAGUUGGGGAUGAUUGGCCAGGGGGCAAAACCCGAACCAGCCAGUCCGGGUGUGUGGAGAAGGUAUUCGGGUUGUAAAGCACUUUAAGUUGGGAGGCGUUACCAACAGAAUAAGCACCGGCUAACUUCGUGCCAGCCGCCGCGGUAAUUC
rnacentral:rRNA from 1 species